UUAACAUUUGGUCCGUUGGUCUAUCGAGAAAUACCACUCGCUCGGUGGAAGACCUUCCUUAUGUCAU
rnacentral:pre_miRNA from 1 species